UACGUAGGUCCCGAGCGUUGUCCGGAUUUAUUGGGCGUAAAGCGAGCGCAGGUGGUUUAUUAAGUCUGGUGUAAAAGGCAGUGGUUCAACCAUUGUAUGCAUUGGAAACUGGUAGACUUGAGUGCAGGAGAGGAGAGUGGAAUUCCGUGUGUAGCGGUGAAAUGCGUAGAUAUAUGGAGGAACACCGGUGGCGAAAGCGGCUCUCUGGCCUGUAACUGACACUGAGGCUCGAAAGCGUGGGGAGCAAACAGG
rnacentral:rRNA from 1 species